rnacentral:lncRNA from 1 species
AACUACAGCAAUUAAUACAAGAACAGUAAUGUUAACAGAAGGUACAAGGCUGCAAAGCAAGAGCAUUAACACCUGCAUCUAGUCUUUAUUUUUCUUCCUCCUUUUUUUUUUGGCCUCUCAACUUUGCUGGACUGUCCAUAACCUCAUUUAAAACAAGCACUGAAAAAGCUACGAGCCUUGCUACAAUUAAUUCUAAUUCAGUAGAAAGAAAUGAAGACUGAGAGCAGAAAGAACUUACUGUAUUUUCUAGUUGAAUUUUAAAACUAGUCAUUAGAAUUGAUAGUAGCAAAGCCCUUAUAACAUUUUCUCACUUAGUUGUGAAGAGGGUUGGGCCCUGUGUGUACUAAUCUCUUUUCUUCUUCAUACAACUUGUCUGAAGAACUACCAUUUUUUUCGGGACUCACAAUUUGGGAUGGACUUGAAGCUUCUACGUGAUACAGCUCAGGGUCGAAAAACCGGGCUUUUCUAGCCGGAAACAAUCUUGAACUGCCAGCUGCAGUUUUACUUAUCCUCUCAGAAGAAGAUAAACAAAUUUCUGAAAAGAUUAAGAGCAACCAAAAAGAAGAAACUGCAAUUCUUGUUGUAGAAUCCCAUCUUCUUCUUCUUCUUCUUCUAGUUCGUUCCAUUGUCAUGAUAAGCUUCAUAUGAGUUCAACAACUCAAACACAUGAAAAUGAGAAAAUUCCUCAAAGCAGGCUAUAAAUCUUUUAGUACUUUUUGGGAAAAUCUAAACCCUACUGCAAGAAAGAAAGAGAGAAAAAUCGAGAGAGAGAGAGAGAGUUGUAUGGUUUCCUUAUCUUAUGGGUCUAUCCACAUGAUCUUGGGCCUUGAUUCGUGGAACCUUCUUAUACAUAUCUUAUUUCUCCUGUGAAUCUUGGAACUCUGGACCUUUUUACUUGUAUGCAAACAAGAAUGGACUUAUAUGCAUGUUAGUUUUUGGCAUCUUUUUAAGAUAUAAAUAAUAUAUAUACAUACAUUAUUAUAUAUGUAUAGUUUUGAGG